CAUGACCUAAAUUACAGCAGUCAAAUGAAAAUUGCUGCAUGCUCAAGCUUGUUCUGUUCACAUGACCAUUAAAUACUGAGUGACUAACUAUUAUGGAGUCUAUACAAGAAAACAUGAAGUUUUGUGGAAAACCUGACUAAAGUCCUACUGAGGUUAAGCUCCCCAUUGUACACUGAAUAAUUCAUAUUUGACACAGAAACUGUCAGUGGCAAAAAGCCACAGCUAUUCUUAACAGAGCUUCCCUUGGGCACGGAUUCAGCUGUUUCAGCAGAAUGACCGCUAAAUUAAAUGCGCCUAGUUAAAAAGCCCGGUGAAGACUAAACCAUUGCAAGGGGUGAGGGUGCUUUUCCUCAGGCACUGUAAGCUAGGAAACAAUUCAAUCCGUCAACCGAUUUAUUUUCCCACAAAAAUUACAUUUACAUUAGUUACCAACAUUUAUUGUGAUCUUUGAAUAAUAUUAAUGUUUAAAGGAAAAUAAAAUUCCAGAUUCCUUAGGGGCCCUCCCCCCAAAUGGGGCCCUGGUAACUCAGUCCCCUUUUUCCCCCCACUACGACG